CACGUAGGGGGCGAGCGUUGUCCGGAUUUAUUGGGCGUAAAGAGCUCGUAGGCGGCUCAGUAAGUCAGGUGUGAAAACUCCAGGCUCAACCUGGAGACGCCACCUGAUACUGCUGUGGCUAGAGUCCGGUAGGGGAGCAUGGAAUUCCUGGUGUAGCGGUGAAAUGCGCAGAUAUCAGGAGGAACACCGGUGGCGAAGGCGGGUCUCUGGGCAACUACUGACGCUGAGGAGCGAAAGCGUGGGGAGCGAACAGG
rnacentral:rRNA from 1 species